CAGCUCGUGUCGUGAGAUGUUCGGUUAAGUCCGCUAACGAGCGCAACCCUCGCUGUGUGUUAUAUGUGUCACACAGGACUGGCUGGUAUUAAGCCGGAGGAAGGUGGGACGACGUCAAGUCAGCAUGACCUUUAUAUCCAGGGCUACACACACGCUACAAUGGUCAGUACAAUGGGUUGCCAAGCCGCGAGGCGGAGCCAAUCCUAAAAAGCUGGCCUCAGUCCGGAUCGCAGUCUGCAACUCGACUGCGUGAAGUUGGAAUCGCUAGUAAUCGUAGAUCAGCAUGCUACGGUGAAUACGUUCCCGGGCCUU
rnacentral:rRNA from 1 species